rnacentral:lncRNA from 1 species
GCAGGAAGUGGAGCAGAGUCGUGGCCGUUACUGGGGCCUGCCAGAGGGUCCAGACCUGUCGGUCGAAGUUCGGUUGGAGUUUGAUCUCCGUAGAAGCCCAGAUGGGGAUCAUUUGUCGAGGAAUCUUUGUCGAGACUUGCAACAGGAGUUUGGGGCUGAAGUCCGGCUCUCAUGGGAGUCCGGAUGAAGUCUUUCUACAGUUGAAGUCAGGGAUGAAGUCCGACUCCCGUAGGAG